rnacentral:rRNA from 1 species
GAUGAACGCUGACAGAAUGCUUAACACAUGCAAGUCUUUGGCGAAGCUGUGCUUGCACAGCCUAGCCAAGGCGGACGGGUGAGUAACGCGUAAGGAACUUGCCCUGCAGUCAGGGAUAACAUACUGAAACGACUGAUAAGACCUGGUAAAGUCAGGCGGACUCAUGUCCAGCCUGAUGAAAAGAGAUGCUGCAGGAGAGCCUUGCGUCCUAUUAGCUUGUUGGUGGGGUAACGGCCCACCAAGGCGAUGAUAGGUAGCCGGCCUGAGAGGGUGGACGGCCACAAGGGGACUGAGAUACGGCCCUUACUCCUACGGGAGGCAGCAGUGGUGAAUAUUGGACAAGGGGGGCAACCCUGAUCCAGCAAUUCUGUGUGCACGAUGAAGGUUUUCGGAUUGUAAAGUGCUUUCAGCAGGGAAGAAAAAAAUGACGGUACCUGCAGAAGAAGCGACGGCUAAAUACGUG